CAGUCGCCACGGUAAUACGUAGGAUGCGAGCGUUAAUCGGAAUUACUGGGCGUAGAGCGUGCGCAGGCGGUUAUGCAAGACAGAUGUGAAAUCCCCGGGCUCAACCUGGGAACUGCAUUUGUGACUGCAUGACUAGAGUACGGCAGAGGGGGAUGGAAUUCCGCGUGUAGCAGUGAAAUGCGUAGAUAUGUGGAGGAAUACCGAUGGCGAAGGCAGCCCCCUGGGAUAACACUGACGCUCAUGCACGAAAGCGUGGGGAGCAAACAGGAUUAGAUAUCCCCGUAGUCCCUGUCUCUUAUAC
rnacentral:rRNA from 1 species